AUUAUUUCUUGAAAUAUUUAGUUGUGCUUCUUGGUUUGUGUAUUACGUGGGGUUUUGAUUAUUUUUUGCUCCUAGAGUAAGAGAUGAAAUUUCCACUCCCAGAGAAAAGCCAUGAUUUUCUUUGGAUUCUUUCUUUAUCUUUACAGAAAAUGAAGGAUUACAGCAGCAGAAAUUAAAUACUCAGCAAGCAUCAUUUAAUUUGAUGUGUUAUAACUUCAUGUUUCACAAUUUUUGAGCUAUUCUUUAUUAUCCUUUUUCCAGGCAUGUAAAAUUAUCAAGGGACAAAGAUACACCAAUAGAAAUACUUGGUGAUCACAUAACUGUUGUGCGAAGGGAUCACGAGCACAAAUCUCAAAGUGAAAAAGGAGAAUAAGAAAUGUUACAGCUCGAGAAGAAACCAAGAGAAAAUAAAAAAGCUCUUCAAGAAGAAAAAGCCCGGCAACAAAAUGCAGGCUAGGCUGGAAGCUGAAAGAGUUGAAAUGUAAAAGCCGCAGGACGGGAGGCUGAGAGGAAGCAAAAAAAGUAACUACAGCAACGUUUCUGAGUCAUUGAUAAAUGCUUCUCCGAGCUAGCAACGUUCAAAGGAAGUGACUAGACAGGAUGUGAAACCCAUACCUGAUUAGCAGAAACAUAUAUUCAGCAGGCCAUCUCUCUAUGGCACAAUCUGGAUUUGCUUAGCUGAUUCAUUUAAAUCCUAUUUGUGUAACAGAGAAGUUGCAGCUGCGGUAAAAUACCAAUCAUCCAGUAUCUUACAGAUGAAUGCAUCUCACAAGUUUAUCCAAAGCUCUCAUUUGAUUUUUGUGGGCGUUACGUUGGAUAUCACUGAAUGUAUUUGAGAAGAUUACUCUCUAAUGUGAAUCAUUCACACGAGCUACAUGUUUGAUGGUUGGUCCAACAUAAUGAAAAAACUGGAUGGACAGGUGAAGACAGUGACCAUGUUGCUAAAUACUCUUAAAGUCACAUUGUUGUAUGUGGACAACAAUUCUGUCCUGAUAAUGAAUAGUUAUGACUUUUAAAUACACUGUCUCCCUUUAGCCUGUAAUACUUUGCUUUAUAAAGCAUCCUAGCAAAACCUUAUAAGUGUACGAAAACAUAUUUCGUGACAUGUUUCUUCUCUAAUAAUUA